rnacentral:rRNA from 1 species
AUACGGAGGAUGCAAGCGUUAUCCGGAUUUAUUGGGUUUAAAGGGUGCGUAGGCGGAUGAUUAAGCGUGAGGUGAAAUGCCACUGCUCAACAGUGGAACUGCCUCGCGAACUGGUUGUCUUGAAUGCUCCUGCCGUGGGAGGAAUGUGUGGUGUAGCGGUGAAAUGCAUAGAGAUCACACAGAACACCGAUUGCGAAGGCAUCUCACGAAGGGUUGAUUGACGCUGAGGCACGAAAGCGUGGGGAUCAAACAGGAUUAGAUACCCUGGUAGUCCACGCAGUAAACGAUGAUGGCUAACCGCUGGUUUUUUCGGAUCAGUGGCCAAGCGAAAGCGAUAAGCCAUCCACCUGGGGAGUACGACCGCAAGGUUGAAACUCAAAUGAAUUGACGGGG